UGGGGAAUCUUGCACAAUGGGGGAAACCCUGAUGCAGCGACGCCGCGUGAGCGAUGAAGCCCUUCGGGGUGUAAAGCUCUUUCGGCAGGAACGAUAAUGACGGUACCUGCAGAAGAAGCUGCGGCUAACUACGUGCCAGCAGCCGCGGUAAUACGUAGGCAGCAAGCGUUGUUCGGAGUUACUGGGCGUAAAGAGUGUGUAGGCGGUUCUCUAAGUUCCGUGUGAAAUCUCCCGGCUCAACUGGGAGGGUGCGCGGAAAACUGGAGGGCUUGAGUAUGGGAGAGGAAAGCGGAAUUCCUGGUGUAGCGGUGAAAUGCGUAGAUAUCAGGAGGAACACCUGCGGUGUAGACAGCUUUCUGGACCAUCACUGACGCUGAGACACGAAAGCGUGGGUAGCAAACAGGAUUAGAUACCCCCGUAGUCC
rnacentral:rRNA from 1 species